ACUUCUCUUUCUCUCUCUCUUUUUCUUAAUUUGGGUAUACAUAAUACGUGAAUAAACAAAUGCAUAUUAAUUUGUGGAGGUCUCAUAUUAUUAUAUGGCAUGGAAUAGUCAAAAAGUAGUAUAGGACUGAUUCUAACCUGCCCUUGUUGAAUAAUUUGAUUAGUGACAAAAUAGAAUAGGUAGCAUAUGUACCCAGGAUUCGUUGCCUUUUUGAUUUGUUUGAGAAUUAAGAAAUGAACUUUAUCUUUCGGUCAGUCAAUCCUUUAUGUACCACAGUCCAAACCCAGUAUUGAUCCCAAGCAGGCAAGCACCGGCUAUAAUUUUGAGACAGUCCCCUGCAUUUUUAAUUAGAUGACCACCAUGCAUUUAGUCACCAAACCAUUAAGCCAGACCUAAAGUAAGAUUCCCCCAAAUCCAAUUGAUUUGCAUGUUUUCUCCAUCUCUUUCAGUUGUUCAAUUUGGCAUUCAAUAUUUGGGCUUGAAUUUAAAUUCUCCCAACUUCCCAAAACACAAAUUUGAAGAGCAGAGACAGAAACCAUGGUCGUAAUCAAGAUGAGAAGAGUGUUGUGGAACAAAAUCCAGAGGGAGGAACUGGAGACUGGGGAUCACAUCUAUACAUUGAAGGGAGACAAUACAAAAGUCCAUCACGGGAUAUAUAUCGACGAUGAAAAGGUGAUCCACAUCAAUGAAGGAGCAUGGUCAGAUCAUAGUAUAUGUCCAACGGAUUGUUUUCAUCCUCUGGUACUCUCUUCCUGCAUAGAUUGUUUUCUUUCUGGUGGAGAUCUCUAUCGCUUCGAAUAUGGUGUUAAUCUAGCUCACUUCCUAGCCAAAUUUGGAAGAGGGUGUACCCUGGCCUCUACAGAUAAAGCCAAAGAUGUCGAACACUGUGCAUCCUUCCUCCUUUAUAAUGGCUUUGGUGCCCACUAUCGCUAUAUAAACAAUGGGGAGACUUCGCCAUAUUUUGCAAAACAGGGUUGCUAGUGGUAGAUAUGAUUAACUUCAGUAGAACUUGGCAAAUAGCAUAUUUCUUGGCUGUCACAGCUGCUGUCUUUCUUCCUUUACAGCAACUCAUGCUUGUUAGUUUUACUGGUGUGGCAGCUAGAUUUCUUGGCCUAUACUGUAUUUGUAGAUUUGCUCCUGAUAUUGGAGCUCAUCCUAAUGCUAUUAAACUCAAUAAAGUACAUAGAUUGCCUGAAGUUGAUCAGAUAUUGGCUUUUGGUGGUUCAGGCUUCCAACUUAUUGAAAAAUUUAUUAACCUGUUUUUAAGCGUAGUGAUGUUAUCUCUCUCUUUCUGUUUACCAUCAAGUAUUUGGUCUGAGCCUCAUCAACGGUGGCCUAGCACUCUUCGAGUGGUCUGGACUCAAGCAUGCGUCAUAUUUUUUUACUGGGCAGUAUUACAAAGAGUAGUUAAUCUUCUUGGUUUGAGCUCCAUAUUGAAUUUUUAAUAUUAAUAUCUAAUAUAUAUUGUUUAUCUAUCAUAUUUAUUUUUACUUAAUUGAGUCAAUGUUGAUCAAUAUCCAGAGGCUGAUUUCGAACAAGAUACAGAAGAAGUAACUGAGGUGUGGGGAUCACAUCUAAACAUGGAGGAACGGCUAUUCCUAUGCCCAUCAUGGGAUAUAUGUUGGUGAUGGUAUUGGCAGAGAGGUAAUCCAUCUUGUUCGAGGAGAAGACCCUGUUAUACCCAGCAGCUCAUCUCCAUCCCAUUCCCAUCCAUCAGACAGUUCCAUAAGUACUGGUGAUGAUGGUAAUCAACAAACGCUGCCAUAUUAUUGUCGUGUGGAAUAUUGCAGCAUAGAUAGUUUUGUUGAUGGUGGGGAGCUUAAUCUCUACAAAUAUGGUGUCAAUUUUGCAUUUUUAUGGCUAAAAUCUGAGGAGGUACCUGUACACAUAUCAAAACAGAUCCACCUAGAGAAGUAGUGUACCGUGCUCGUUUCCUCCAAAAGCAUAAUGGAUUUGGUGCCUACAACCUUUUCAAUAACAACUGUAAAGACUUUGCAAUAUAUUGCAAAACAGCCUUGCUGUCUCCAAAAGAAAUCUCUGAUAUUGGCAGGAAUGGGAAGAUAGCAGCUCUUCUUGCUUUCGUUUAUGCAAUUGUUGUUCCUCUCUUCUUGUUGUCGCCAAAAAACAUCUUUACUAUUGAGUGGAAGGGGCAGAUACCUCUUUUCUCGUGGUCACCAGAAAACAUCAUUGGUGUUGACAUGAAGGGGCAAAUAGCAUCUCUUCUUGCUUUCAUUUAUAGUGAUUUUAUUGGUGUGGCAACAACUGUUUAUAUCGUUUACUGUAUGUUGAGAUGUAUUGCUGACAUUGCAUAUGUUGGGAGUAAAUUUAAAGUUCCGGUUCAGAGUUCAUAUUCUAGAUUGGCAGAUUGGUUUCAGAGUAACUUCUGCCAGUUCAUUUUAAGUUAGGUGAAGUAUAUGGUGUGACAUGGGUUUCAACUCUAUCUGGACCAAUUGGAGUGUUUCUUAUAACUUCAUAUGAUGGUUUAUUGGGCAGUUACUAGGAAGUGAGUGCUUUGUGAUUUCUCUGGUCUAAUGGUUCUGUUAGUGAAGGGCAGGGUGAAUGUUCUCUCUAUUAUUCAGCCAUUAACGAAAGUCUUUCCAGGCCUUGUGAGUGAGAUGUAGGCAAUUUGGCCAAACCACUAUAAAUCCUUUAUCUUGUUUUGCUUCCUUUCUACAUCUUUUUUUGUUUGUUCUGUUAUUUGUUGGUUAUUGAAUAUUUAGGAUUACAAAUGAAACAGAUUAUUUCGAUGACAAUUGAAUUGGUUUAUCUUGGAAAGAGAUUUUAAGGAUUUGAAGGAGGAUCAAAUAUAACUGUGGAUAUAUGAUUUAUAUGACCAUAUUGGUUAGUGAUUGAGUUUUAUGAAGGAGGAUCAAAGAUAACUGUGGAUAUAUGAUUUAUAUGACUCAUAUUGGUUAGUGAUUGAGUUUUAUGACUUAUAUUGGUUAGUGUCUUAUAUUGGCAUGUCUGCUUUGCAUAUUUCUGCUACACAAGGCCAUGUCAAUGUCAUGGAAGAUAUUAAUGGUCUCAAUCCAGAUGCUUGAAACUUGGUUGAGAACAGAGGAUGGAUGCUUGUGAGCCUCAUCAAUACAGCAGAUUACGAAGGGAAUAUGCCUCUGCAUGCUGCUGGAAAAGAAAAGUAUAGCAUCAUUAGAAUCCUUGUGGAUGGUAUAAUAGUUAAACAUGAAGGCUGAAAGUCUCAACUUCCAAAAGACCAUAGACUUUAUUCCAGCUAGUCCAAGUAUUGGAGAACUUUAUAAGGAGCUGGACUUGAAUUUAUUUUACCAUUAGUUACAGAAUGGUAAACUUUUAUUCGUUGAAAGAUGCAUCAUUUGUGUAGAAGAAAUGUUGUUGGUAAAUACUCACUCUAUUCUGCUGCUAAAGACAUUUUGUUACCUGUAAUACCCAUAUAGCCAAUAGAUAUUCAUUGACAAUAAUAAAUUUCGGGGCUAAAUUGUUUGACACAAAAAUGACAAUACAUAAAUCUCUUGAAUAAAACUGAUUAU